UACGUAGGGUGCAAGCGUUGUCCGGAAUUAUUGGGCGUAAAGAGCUCGUAGGCGGCUCGUCACGCGGCUGUGAAAACCCGGGGCUCAACCCCGGGCCUGCAGUCGAUACGGGCGAGCUAGAGUUCGGCAGGGGAGACUGGAAUUCCUGGUGUAGCGGUGAAAUGCGCAGAUAUCAGGAGGAACACCGGUGGCGAAGGCGGGUCUCUGGGCCGAUACUGACGCUGAGGAGCGAAAGCGUGGGGAGCGAACAGG
rnacentral:rRNA from 1 species